CUUCAUUUUUUCUGAAGCUGUGAUAAAUAAAAGCUCAAUGUGGUUUAUGGUGUUGCCAGGGGUGUAGAAGACGACGGAUUGAAAAAAAAACAACACACAUGCAAGCAAGCAAAUCUUCAGCAUAACCUGAAUAUAUCUCUGUGUUAACUCACUGCCCUACACUCCCAUUCAAGUGGGGCUCCCCAAAUAUACAUGUUAAUCGCUGUUUAGGCACAGCCAUUUCAAACUGGGUCUGUCUCAAUCUUGUGAAGGUGCUCAGAAGUCUCCAAGAGCCAGAGAAAUUGAAUUGACUAGAAAAGAUGCUCAGUGCAAGCAGGCACAGUGGUGGGAUUUCCACCCAGCCCGUGGGUCCAAGGUGGAUAGCCAAGUGGUAAUUGAAAUGUUCACCUUAACCAUUAGCUAAGGAUCCCAAAUAUUCGCUGAAAAGGACGACCACGCUCCUCUCCCACUUCAGGGAAGAGAACCAGGAACCUCCACCAUUAAACUGGCCACCUGCGCGGCCUAGACAUCAUGUGGAGGAAGGCGUGGUGGAAGGCCCACCCCAACCCAAUUUCCUCGUGACCUUCCGGUGCGCGGGCCCUGAUGAGCCGCAAGUCUUACAGUGAAGAGGGCUCUCCACCGGAUAACCUUCUGAGGCCUCGGUGCUGGCAGAUAUGAUUGCUCCAGCUGCCCAUGGCAAGUAUCACUUGAGACUGGACCAUACGCCUCCAAUCACUGUGCUCGUGCCAUUUCUCUCUCUAGCCUUUCCCUUCUCCUCACUGUUUUUCAAACUCUACUCAUGGACUUAGGAUCGACUCAGGCAUCACCACUUCCAUCAAGCCUUCCCUAAUACUUCCCCGGGCAAGAUGCAGGUGUUUAUCCUCCUCACUCUUGCAGCAUCUUCUGCAUACCUCGGUUGCAGAAUGUCUCUGUCUCAUGUGUUCCAGGAGGUAAGGUGUUGUUCUAGGUGCUGAAUAUAUGGUGGCAAGCAAAACAAAGUCCCUUUUCUCAUGGAGCUUGUGCUCUUCUAGACACAGGGCCACAGGACUUUUGGCUUUGCUGGAGGAUCCAGUGCAGAGCAGGGAGUGGUGGCAGAAGAAGCUGAAGAGGAAGAGGGCAGUUUGUUUUAUGUGGAAGAACCAAGUUGAUACCCUACCUACUUCCACAAAGGAUUUGAGGCGCUUAUAAAAAGCUAAGGAUUUGCCAAAUCCAACUACCACUGGGUGGGAAUCCCAGACCCCCCUCCUGGGGAGGAGAUUCUUCUGCUUCCCUUGAAGUCUCUUGGUUGCUGCAGGGAGACUGCCAACAGGACUGGAGAAAAGAGGCUGCCCCUGGACCCUGUGCACCCUUAGAGAUCCCCUUGGGUUGAUUCAGUAAAUGGAUUGUGACUCAGUGCAGUGAGUGGAGAGCCUGGCCCAGAGUAAGAACUUCAUAAAUGAUUGUUGGAUGAAAACACAAGGGAUAAGGAGUGGCUAACCUCUUUGAGCUUUGACUUCAACCUAAGAAUGAGUGGCCUUAUGAGCUUCCUGGAAAGCAAGAUGGUUCCUACACCAACACCUUGCUCAACUCAAGUCGAAGGAUAAAAAUUCAUAAGUACAACCCCUGUACCUUUAUUUCCAAGUUCAACCAUUCAUCCACCCAUCCAUGCAUCCAUUUAAGUCUUAGUAUCCAUCCCAUCCAUCCAACAUGGCGAGGCACUGUGCUAGACACUGGAGAUACUGAAAUGAUCUUAUGGAAUUCACUGCCACUGUCAAGUGACAGUGAGAGAAAUGCUAAUUAGAAAAAAAGAAAAGUGCAAAUUGAAGUAGGUAAACAGAUAGGGUGAGGGGGCCAAGAAUUCUUUGCUAAUGAACAGACUUAUUGAUUGAUUGAUUGAUUUAAUUUACUUAUUUUUUGGCCAUGUCCACAACAUGCGGGAAUUCCCGGGCCAGGGAUGGAAUCCAUGCCACGGCUAUAGCCAGAGACACAACAGUGACAAAGCUGGAUCCCCAACCCUCUGGGCCACGAGGGAACUCCUAAUGAGUAGACUUUUAAAGGAAGAGACUGGAGUUUGCCAAGCUUGAGAGAAGAUGGGAAGGGGAUCUGAGAACAGCAGAAAUAAAAUCAGGGAGCCCAGAACACUGUGUUGAAUUCAGGACAUGCUGGUAAACCAGUGUGGCUAUCAGAUAGGAUGUCAGGGCAGCGGAUUAUUGAAGACAGGGAGAGGGAGAAGGGUUUAGAGGUAUAGUUUCCCCAAUUAUCUGCUGCAAAUAAAAUGAAAAUACUGUGGUAUCAGUGUAUGUUGACACUAACUUGAGUCAGAGGCUUACUCUCCACCAAAUGCUUUUAUUGUUGUUACUAUUCUUUUGACAACAUUUAUUUACAUUUGCUUUAGAGCCCAAAUCAAAGCAAAUCAGAAUAUGACAAAGGUGUGUGGGCUAGACGAGUUCCUUGAUGGAGAAUGAAUUUGCUCUUUUGUAUGUAAGUAGUUUCUAGCCUGAUGGGCUGCUGACUGCUGUGGCACAGGGACUAUUUCCAACGAUUUAACUUUGGCCCCUAACAAACCACAUUUUAUAAUUACUUUUUACCCAGAUAGCAUCAAUGAUAUAACCAUGACCUAUGUAAAAUCUGCACAUAUGGAUAUGCCAAGUUCAUUCACUGAUUUCCAGAAUUUCAGAUCCUCCAAGGAUUUUCCUGAAUCUCCAUGAUGCCUCAGAAAGCUUCAUUUUGCAUCUGAUUCUCUUAUUUUGAUUCAGAAAUUCAUGUUGCUUGUCUCUAGUGCACAAAGCAGAGUUCCCUCUUUUGGACAAAUUGGUCUUGGACAAAGUAUGCCACAUAAAUUCCUUCUAGAUCAUCUUGUGCCUUAAGACUAAGGGCUUAAGGAGUUCCUGUGGUGGCACAGUGGAAACAAAUCAGACUAGGAACCAUGAAGUUGCGGGUUGGAUCCCUGGCCUUGCUCAGUGGGUUAAGGAUCC